GUGCUUUGACAGCAUAUAUACUAAAAUUGGAAUGAUACAGAGAAGAUUAGCAUGGCCCCUGUGCAAGCGUAACACAUAAAUUCAUGAAGCGUUCCAUAAUUUU
rnacentral:snRNA from 1 species